rnacentral:lncRNA from 1 species
UGCAGACUGUGCUAGACCUCUGCGUUUCGCAACUCACGACUUCUUCCUGGCCGUGCCCUAGCCGAUGAUGAGCCACCACAGGCCGUGGUGGAGACCGUGGUGGCUUCAGAAACCGUGCCAAAAUGGCACUCUUGAGGGGCAACUAUUUGAUGGUUCAGUACGGCCGGAGUCCAAGCCGUGCUCAACCUUGGAGUGCUAGUCCUUGCUCAACUUGAU